GCCGGCUUAGCUCAGUUGGCAGAGCAGCUGAUUUGUAAUCAGCAGGUCGUCAGUUCGAAUCUGACCGCCGGCUCCA
rnacentral:tRNA from 1 species